UACGUAGGGACCAAGCGUUGUUCGGAUUUACUGGGCGUAAAGGGCGCGUAGGCGGCAAUUCAAGUCAUCUGUGAAAUCUCCGGGCUUAACUCGGAACGGUCAGAUGAUACUGCUUUGCUAGAGUGCAGAAGGGGCAAGCGGAAUUACAGGUGUAGCGGUAAAAUGCGUUUAUAUCUGUAAGAACACCAAAGGCGAAAGCAGCUUGCUGGAACGGUUCUGACACUCAUGGACGAAAGCGUGGGGAGCGAAAAGG
rnacentral:rRNA from 1 species